rnacentral:misc_RNA from 1 species
GAUGAAGAACGCAGCGAAAUGCGAUAAGUAGUGUGAAUUGCAGAAUUCAGUGAAUCAUCGAAUCUUUGAACGCACAUUGCGCCCUUUGGUAUUCCUUAGGGCAUGCCUGUUCGAGCGUCAUUUAAACCUUCAAGCUAAGCUUGGUGUUGGGUGACUGUCCGCUUCACGGCGGACUCGCCUCAAAAUUAUUGGCGGCCGGUACAUUGGCUUCGAGCGCAGCAGAAACGCGAACUCGGGCCCGUCGUAUUGGCUCCCAGAAGCUAUCUUCACAAUUUUGACCUCGGAUCAGGUAGGGAUACCCGCUGAACUUAAGCAUAUUCAAUAAGCGGAGGA